CCUCCAGAAAUGCUGAAGAGGGGAUUUCCACUCCCAUCAGUUAAAGUGGCUAAACUUGUAAAUCCUGUGGUAAAGGUGAACAAGGGAUAUAUAACUGUGGCCACUAAUGCAAAUUUUAAUCUGUGAUGUCAUGGACUGCUAAACAACUUCAUCAGAAAAUGUUGCUAGUGGAAGAAUGAGAAUGCUGCUCUUGUCUAUUUUUCAAAGGAAAUAAUUGUGAUCGCCAAUAAGAAUGAACGAUGAUAUAUGUUCCUAAAGGUGCUUUCAUCUCCUUCUUGCCACUGAUUUUGUGGAGGAAGCAACAAUCUAAGGAAAGCAAACAAAUGUGACCAAACUGAGAAAAAAAGAAAACUACAGUUGUUUUAUUAAUCUGAAUAAAUAAGAUUCUGCACAUUUCCUGAAACCAUACCACAAAAUAUUACACCCAAGUGAUAUCCAGUGUUGGAAACAUUUUUUCUUCAGUGAUUAUAACAGGAGUCACUUCUUUCCUAUCAUUUGUGGAGAAACAUCACCUUUCUAUUAAAAAUGCAUAUAUUUUCAAUACUAUAUUAUUAUAAAAUAUAAUGUUAUAGACAAGCUUCUUGUACAUUCUAUACAUCUAUUAACAUUUUUAUUAUGUCUCAUUGUAAAGUGAUUUGUUGCUAUUCUUACCUUCUUGGGUGUUUUAUUGUUACAAUACCUUUUUCUGUGGUUUUGCCAGAAUUAUUAAAAGAUUUUAAGUUA